AGCAAAACACGGGUCCAAACAGCCCUUUUGGUAAAGACUAUUCCUGUAUGUUGCGGCCCCCAUCGCACUUCUGCCUGUUAUCAAGUUCUUCCACUGUUCAGCUCAGUGAUUAUUUAUGGACUGCCUUGUCACAUGUAAUUUACUCCAAGUCACUUUAAAAUUUAAGUCAUCUUGAUCAGUUUAGUUCCCUGCCAUUCUUUCUGGCCUUUAUAAACAUCAUCCUCUUCCAGGAAUUGCUUGUCCUGUUACUGCCAUACUAACAGUAAAAGAACUAACAUUUACUACACACUUAAUGUGUCCAGGCGUUUAAUAACUGACACAAAGUACACACACAUAAAGGUGAAUUUUACUAAUAUAAAUAUUUAAUAUGCUAUUGAAAAUUCCAUAUAAGCAUUUGCCGACUUUUUUAUUUCCCCCGAAAUUCUUGUAUCUGCCAUCAUCUUAUGAUUGCAAUUGAUUAAUGAAUGUAAUCUGGGAUAAAUGUUGGUUGGUAUUUUCAUUAACAAGACAAAUAAGAAUCAUCACGUCAGAACGUCACUCGUUUGCCAGCGAUGUAUCUGACUUCCUUACUGAAUCAGAUCACAGUUUCUGAAUACUGGAAUACUUCACUUUUGGGGUUAUUCACAGUGUGAUGCUUACAGAUAUAUUUUUAAUUCUUAUCUACAUCAAUAUUUUUCUAUCUUUUUUAGGUCUAAUCAAAACUAUCAGUCCCUCUUUGGCCUAAAUACUGCCUCCGUGGCUAGUUUCAAACUACCAUGGUGGAAGUGAGGACAAUCUGGCUGCGACAUCUGUCACCCCAUCGAUCGCCAGGGCUGUUCAGCUGAUCUGGCUGGCCGGGCAGGUGUCCCCUUCCUCCCUCAACGCUCCACAUGCGUCCCUCCCCAAGCUGCACACUCGGUCGAAGAGGACGACCACCCUCGAUAAAGGAGGACUGUUCCUUGGUCACGGGUGUACGAGUAGCUGCACUCCCCUGCUAGACCGCCAAACAAGCUCUCAAACUACCAUGGUGUUACUGAAUGUACAACUGGGGAAAGGUGUGUGAUGUACAUCAAGGUAUGGUGUCUUCACCACAAAGCCAACACAACCUCCACAGAACGGGUACCAGUAAAGUGUAGUAAGCACUCCACAGUUGUCCUGUUGUGUGCCAGGCCUCACCUCUGUAAGCUACGCCUCGUCAAAGCCACCAACAUCUCUUCUGACACGCUUGCCUUGCUUCACCUCAGCAAGAACUUGAGAAUUUCGUCACUGUCACACAUGCUGCCCACUGAGUCUCAAUACAUCUCGGCCCAAUCUCAUUAGCCUGGCAAGACCACGAGACCAGUAUCUGACUUGGAGGAAAUGCUAAAGCAACAAAUGACCAGACUCUCUUCCACAGUGAUCUUAACGUCCUACAUGCUCACCAAUGAGGAAACAUAACUUGGCAAAGGCUACCUUCCAAUUUUUCCAUAUUUCCAUCCACAUUUUUUAAGUAGCAGUCAACCUAAAGAAUGGUAAGUAACAGCUUAUAGUUUUAAUGUGCGUUUCUCUAAUAACUAGUAAUCAUGAGCAUCUUUUCAUGUACUUAUUGGCCAUCUGCAUAUCUUCUCUAGAGAAGUACUUAUUGAAGUUCUUUGCUUAUUUCUGUAUCAGCUUUUUUGUUACGUUUUAUUUCUCCUCUGUAUAGUCUAGAUACUGAUUCCUUACUGGGUAUGAUUUUCAAAUAUGUCCUCCCAUGUUAAGGCUUGCCUUUUUACUCUGUUGAUAAUGACUUUGAGGUACAAAAUUUUUAAAACUUUAUUAAGUUCAAAUUUUUUUUUUUUUUUUUGGACUACCACAGCUCAAAGAGACAUUUGUCUAUACUUCCUCAUAGUGACAUUAGCCACACCGUGGCAUGGCCAAACCACGGAAGCAACCUAUGUCCACUGACAGAUGAAUGGAUCACAAAAUAUAUACAUACAA